rnacentral:rRNA from 1 species
UACGGAGGAUCCAAGCGUUAUCCGGAAUCAUUGGGUUUAAAGGGUCCGUAGGCGGUUUUGUAAGUCAGUGGUGAAAGCCCAUCGCUCAACGGUGGAACGGCCAUUGAUACUGCAAGACUUGAAUUAUUAGGAAGUAACUAGAAUAUGUAGUGUAGCGGUGAAAUGCUUAGAGAUUACAUGGAAUACCAAUUGCGAAGGCAGGUUACUACUAAUAUAUUGACGCUGAUGGACGAAAGCGUGGGGAGCAAACAGG